CACGCAGGCGGGCUGUCAAGUCGGGUGUGAAAACCAGGAGCUUAACUCCUGGCCUGCACUCGAAACUGGCAGUCUUGAGUACCGGAGAGGAUGGCGGAAUUCCUGGUGUAGCGGUGAAAUGCGUAGAUAUCAGGAAGAACACCGGUGGCGAAGGCGGCCAUCUGGACGGAUACUGACGCUCAGGUGCGAAGGCUAGGGGAGCAAACA
rnacentral:rRNA from 1 species